GAUGAACGCUGGCGGCGUGCCUAAUACAUGCAAGUCGAGCGAACUGAUUAGAAGCUUGCUUCUAUGACGUUAGCGGCGGACGGGUGAGUAACACGUGGGCAACCUGCCUGUAAGACUGGGAUAACUUCGGGAAACCGAAGCUAAUACCGGAUAGGAUCUUCUCCUUCAUGGGAGAUGAUUGAAAGAUGGUUUCGGCUAUCACUUACAGAUGGGCCCGCGGUGCAUUAGCUAGUUGGUGAGGUAACGGCUCACCAAGGCAACGAUGCAUAGCCGACCUGAGAGGGUGAUCGGCCACACUGGGACUGAGACACGGCCCAGACUCCUACGGGAGGCAGCAGUAGGGAAUCUUCCGCAAUGGACGAAAGUCUGACGGAGCAACGCCGCGUGAGUGAUGAAGGCUUUCGGGUCGUAAAACUCUGUUGUUAGGGAAGAACAAGUACGAGAGU
rnacentral:rRNA from 1 species